CAAGGCUUGACAUAUACGAGAACGGGCCAGAAAUGGUCAACUCUUUGGACACUCGUAAACAGGUGGUGCAUGGUUGUCGUCAGCUCGUGUCGUGAGAUGUUGGGUUAAGUCCCGCAACGAGCGCAACCCUCGUUCUAUGUUGCCAGCACGUAAUGGUGGGAACUCAUGGGAUACUGCCGGGGUCAACUCGGAGGAAGGUGGGGAUGACGUCAAAUCAUCAUGCCCCUUAUGUCUUGGGCUUCACGCAUGCUACAAUGGCCGGUACAAUGGGCUGCAAUACCGUGAGGUGGAGCGAAUCCCAAAAAGCCGGUCCCAGUUCGGAUUGAGGUCUGCAACUCGACCUCAUGAAGUCGGAGUCGCUAGUAAUCGCAGAUCAGCAACGCUGCGGUGAAUACGUUCCC
rnacentral:rRNA from 1 species